UUGAACGCUGGCGGCAUGCCUUACCCAUGCCAGUCGAACGGCAGCACGGGUGCUUGCACCUGGUGGCGAGUGGCGAACGGGUGAGUAAUACAUCGGAACAUGUCCUGUAGUGGGGGAUAGCCCGGCGAAAGCCGGAUUAAUACCGCAUACGAUCCACGGAUGAAAGCGGGGGACCUUCGGGCCUCGCGCUAUAGGGUUGGCCGAUGGCUGAUUAGCUAGUUGGUGGGGUAAAGGCCUACCAAGGCGACGAUCAGUAGCUGGUCUGAGAGGACGACCAGCCACACUGGGACUGAGACACGGCCCAGACUCCUACGGGAGGCAGCAGUGGGGAAUUUUGGACAAUGGGCGAAAGCCUGAUCCAGCAAUGCCGCGUGUGUGAAGAAGGCCUUCGGGUUGUAAAGCACUUUUGUCCGGAAAGAAAUCCUUGACUCUAAUACAGUCGGGGGAUGACGGUACCGGAAGAAUAAGCACCGGCUAACUACGUG
rnacentral:rRNA from 1 species